GACGAACGCUGGCGGCGUGCUUAACACAUGCAAGUCGAACGGAAAGGCCCUGCUUUUGUGGGGUGCUCGAGUGGCGAACGGGUGAGUAACACGUGAGUAACCUGCCCUUGACUUUGGGAUAACUUCAGGAAACUGGGGCUAAUACCGGAUAGGAGCUCCUGCUGCAUGGUGGGGGUUGGAAAGUUUCGGCGGUUGGGGAUGGACUCGCGGCUUAUCAGCUUGUUGGUGGGGUAGUGGCUUACCAAGGCUUUGACGGGUAGCCGGCCUGAGAGGGUGACCGGCCACAUUGGGACUGAGAUACGGCCCAGACUCCUACGGGAGGCAGCAGUGGGGAAUAUUGCACAAUGGGCGGAAGCCUGAGGCAGCAACGCCGCGUGCGGGAUGACGGCCUUCGGGUUGUAAACCGCUUUCGCCUGUGACGAAGCGUGAGUGACGGUAAUGGGUAAGAAGCACCGGCUAACUACGUG
rnacentral:rRNA from 1 species